CGGACCCGCGGAGCGAGCCGCCAGCAGCAGAAGUUGGUGACAGCCGUGAGCUGCCCGUGCCUGCCGCCGGCCGCUUCCUUUGUGCGUUUGUGAGCACUUGGGGUGACAUUCCUUCCUCCGUGCCCGCGGCGGCGAGUUAACCUUCGUCAGUGCUGGGAGAGAUUGUUGUAAACAGACGAAAGGAAGAAAAGCCUUUGUGAGUUUUGCAGAGGUGCUUUAAACACACGGUUAAAUGACAGGCGGAAAACGAUGUGUUUUUUGUAAUUGGCGAGUUUCUUCACAUUCAGGUUGAUGCGCUUCCUCAGUACAGACACGUAUGGCAAAGAAAUACUUGGUUUCUUUGAGCAUAUCUUUGAUCACAGUUUAUAAUUACUACCUAUGUACACCUAUGUAUCUUUUGAGAGUCAGUAAUAAAAAUUGUUUUUAUUAAAAGCCUUAAAGAUUAAAAAGGACACAGGAAAAUUUGCUGUCCAGCCUAGCAUCCGGAGCACUCCUUCCUCUUACGUACGAUCCAAGCAUUUUGGACUAGAUCCUUAGCAAUAUAAUUUGGCAUAGUGAACCUCACUGAUUUACCUCAGCUGAAGAUCUAAUUCCAGUACAUGACAUACUUAGAAUAUGUAAAAGAUAUUCCAGAGGCACAAAAAAGCGUGGUCUCGCGUUUCAAGAAAAAUCAAACUAAGCCAGAUUAAACCAACAUAAAUUCUUACUCUGUACCACAGUAAUUACCUGUCGUGACUGCAAAUUCCCUGUUUUCCUCAAGAAAUACAGUCAUGUUUUUAACCAGAAGCUGCAUGCAAUGCUUUAAAACAAAAAGAAACAAUUUCUUGUUUGAUAUUUUUGUAAUAGAUGUGCAAUUAUUUCACUCUCGGGUAUGUGAACAAAUCUUUAAGAGUUGAAAUGCAUUGUGCAUUAUUAUUUCAUAUCCUGUACAGGCUUUUAGUGACUUCACCAUUCCGAGUGGCUUUAAGAUGAGAUGUUUGAUAGUCACAUUUUUAAAGUUUUAUUUCUGUGGUGUUUUACUUGCCUGGUCAGAUUUAUCCACCAGUGCUGCGUGGUGACCAGGCAGCAGCUCAGGUAGUGGCUUUUCAAUUAUUUAAAUAGGAGGUUUCCCAAAUCCCCUUCUGGAAUGAAAGGUUCUUCAGGAGAAGGGGCAGGUUCCCCACACUCAAAGCCGAUCUCCCUGCUGACUCCCUUCCCUGGCCUUCCUCAGUGAUUUCUCUACCGUGUCAAGGCAUUUUGCUACCAAAUAAAUAUUCAGAGGUGGGGAGUGAGGGGGGAGAAAUGUGGGAAAAAUAGGCCUCCCAGGGAGCUAUUGAUUUGAGAUAUGAAACAUUGUAUUGAUACAAGAAAAACUCAGACAUAAGGAAGCAGUUUGAUAUUGCACAAUAUUUGAGAAAAAUCGUGUGCAUCUGUUUAGCACAAUGUACUGCAUAAUGACAGCAAUCUUCCCUGUUUGUAUCUAUUCAUCUGAUUAUACAGCGUAACAAUUCUUUUUGCCACACAUUUGUUUACCAAAGGAUUUUUUUUAAUGGAUAAUAAAUUAGUAAAUCAGAUAUCGUGCUCUUGGGGAAAUGCGUUAGUUGACUCCCUACACACAAGAUAGUUGUGGUUCUUAUUUUAUGUGAUACUCAGUGAUACUUGCAUAUACAGAUGAAGUUACAUGCUUCCCUUGUGGCGAAGACAAAGGAAGUUUUAAAUCACAAUUUAGCACUCUUUCAUCUAGGCACAUGUUAUUUUGAAAAGCUUCAGUUUUUAACACUGCGGUGCAGCACUGAUGUAAUGAAGAGCUUUGACUUACUUGAAGUAUAACCCAGUGGCCUUCUUUUGAUGCUUUUUCCAUAGCUAUUUCUGCUGCUGCUUCCUGUCCUUGACCCAGUGAUACAUUGUGAAGUUCUCGUGAGUCAAUGAAUCCUGGUAAAAUGCAGUAAAGGAUUUGAGGUUAUUGUCUGUCUCUCUCUAACUUCUGACAUCUCUUUAUAACAAGAAAGAGUCACAGCCAACUGUAACAGGAGGGCAACACAAUGGAUCCUGCUUCUCAAUAUCUUGAACAUCCUCAUAUAGUUGAAAUAGCCAGUUGCUACCAUGGCAGUGCACCGGUGACAGUAUUGCAACAGUCAAGACUUACUGGUUCCCAUCCAUGUGUUGAUCCAUUAACUGGAGAGUCAAGGACUGACUGGUGCUGGCGACACCAUGGGUCCCGCAGUUAUGCCCAGUUUUGACUGAUGUCUUACUGUUGAAAGCAAUUGAGUGCAGCAGCAGAUGUCAGCAAAGGAAAGAUGCCUACAAAGUGCUGUUGCAAACCAUGGUGCAGUAGGUGCAGUGGGAUUUCUCUGUCCCAGCCCUUCAGGAAUUUCAGUGUUCUUUCUUGUUUUCUUUACCUGAUUAUUUUAGCAGCCUCUCAUUUCUCCAUCUUCUUAUCCUUUCCCCUUUUGCUGCUGCUGCCUGCCCACCUUGCUACUUAGGCACUUCUAUGUCCAGAAACUGACCCUGUCAGAUGCCAGCUUUCUUCCCAAGGACUGGGGAAGGACCUCAAGCUUGGGAGAAAUGUGGCCAGAGCUGUAAUGGUGCAAAUAAACUUGUAAACUGGUUCAAGAGGGCAACGCCAAGCAAAUGGCUAGCAGGUAGCUUGUGCUUUAGACUAGUUUAUUUUGCGCAAGUCAGAUAUUGCAUGCGCUGUAUCUGAAGUCUGAAGCUGAUCUGUCUGGCAAACCUACUGUUGUCUACAUUGUCAAAAUACAUGAGACAACAUUUCAUUUUUCCAAAUUGCCAUUAAUUUCAUUGCCUUAUUUUCUUUCUUUUCCUCCUACACCAGGAUGACACUUUUGAAGUGUACUUUUAAGAGCAUAAUUUGAUCAAAUGAUCCAAGGGAACUCCCUAUAGACAUCCAUGAUUUAAUGCUAGAUCUGUUAUAAAGGUUGGCUUGUCUGACAAUGGCAAUUGGUUUAACUCCAGUUGAUUUGUAGUAAUAAAUAUAGUGAGUUUUUUCUGUGUCAGGACUGUAAUUUGUUUACACAGCUUAAUCAGGAAUGUAUCAAAUAAAGGCAAGACCCGGCCACGUGUGACGGUGAGCGUUUUGAGCAUCCCAACCUCACGCAGAGCAGAAGGUGCUCGGCACAUUGCUGAAGUCAGCCAUUGUGCAUAUCCUCGUGUGAGAUGCUUGCACGUGAGUUCCAGGUGACCUCAAGGAGACUGCAGGAAUUCACUGGAUGGUUGAUUUAUGGUUCAGUACUCAGUACACAGAUACUCUGUGCUCUGAAAACAAGUAAGGUCAGUAACUGAAUCUGAAUUUCUUUGUUCUCCCUUUCCAUUCUCCAUUUGGGAUUUCGCUUUCCAGCUCACAUCACAUGCACUGGAAGUCAAAGAUAAGCCUCUUUUACUAGGUUAGUAUUUUCAUCCUAGUUCUGACUCACAUCUGUGCAGGCUUUGGGCUCAUCUGCUCUGUGACCACCUACCACUCUUUUCAAAGGGAAGAAGGAAACUCUUGGUAUUGGGUGCAAAACUUAGAAGAGAUCUGUGCCUAAUAAGAGCAAGAACACAGCUGCACAAGACUCAGCAUACUUCUCAGACAAAUGCAGUGAAGGAAAAGAUGACACGUUUAGCUAAAUGAGAGAUCAUUACACAAUACUCUUUCCAUUCAGCCCCUUCUAGGAGGAAGAUAUACAUGCACAGCAGCACUUGGGACAUGAAGAGCUGCUUUAAAAGUAGAUGUGGUUCCUGGUGUUUGAGUUGAGGAUGGAUAGUGGAGAGUGAGAAAAUUGGCUGUCCCUGCAGAGGUGUCCUCCAGCCACAGCAGUGUCUGUGAAGUUGUGCUUUUCUGUACUUGAUGAGAAAGCAGCCUGGGCUGGCUGAGAGCAAGCUCAGUUUGUAGGAGGAGUUUCAGACUGAUACUCAUUGCCUCAGGAGGAAGUUUCCGGGGGCCCAGCACAGCCUGUUAGCAGCAUGAACAGCUUGAGCUACAGCAAGGAGACCCAAGCAGAAGUACACAAACAUGUCCAUAUUCCCUCCUACUGUGGUGAAGCAGGAAAGCAUGCAAGAGAGGCCUGAAAAUCAUUAGGCAAAAGACUUCUGUGGGCUGCAUGCUGCAGGCACAGGUGUACACACAGAGUCAUAAAUGGAAGCUUGUGCAGGGUUCAUGCUGUACCAGGAGAGAGAACUGUGCUGUGAAAGAAAGCUUUUCUCUCUCAAACAGAUGGAUGUAAAUGAUAUUUGAGGGUGUAAUGCAGAGAGUCGUGUUCUUUACACUCAGCCUCACGUUGUCAGAGGGUUUUGCUCGCUGCACUGCCCUGUGAAGUACAACAGUAAAGGCCUGCAACAGGAGGGAAAGAAAGUUGUAAGCCAGUGGUAGCACUAGAUUAAAACAGCAGCACACAAACACGCUGACCUCUUUCUGAGCAGUAACCUUGAGUGAGAGCUGGAUUGAUUGAUUUUAUUCUGCUUGUCCAUGAGAAAAUAGAGCACAGCAGCACAGACUGUAACUGGCCAACAGUGCUUGCGAGCUUCAGUGAUCUUUAUCGUGUUUAUUUCAGCUUCCAGGUCCUUAAAGAUAUUUGUGAUGUUAAGAUGUAGUAUUAUACUCAAAGUCUUCUUAUUGGCAAAAGGGUAUUGACCACAAAAGGCACAUUGUGCCUUUUGUGAUCUAUGAAUUUACUGUUAGUCCGGUUAAUGUUUCAAACAGCCUAAUAGUCAAAAUUACAGACCCUACAGCAUCAGUACAAACCUUGUUGCUUUUUAGUAAUAAUGGAAAAAUGAAUACAGGAAGGCCUCAUUAAAAAUAGAGUUAAAAUUGCUACACAGAAAUUUCCCUAUUCUCUAGUGUUGUGCUUACUCUUUCAGUCUUUUGGGUCUUUGAUUGACACUUCGGUAUUUCUCAAAAGGUCUGGGGGAGUAUUAUGAUGAGUCAUCACCACGAAGAGUGCAAUACUCAUGGGAGGGGAUGUCUUUCUCCUCAGUCUGGUGUCUGCUUGGAUUUAGUUUUAUAUCUUUUCUUAACACUAUCAGUUUACUGUGAUUAAAUGACUGAUUCGUGUCAUCUGUGUCUGCACUCUUCCCCGUGACUUAUUCUAGCAGUCCACAAUGAGUAAUCAUUUGUUGUUACUAUAGACUAGAGUUAAACUAAAAAAUCUAGUCAAGAAUGUCUUAGAGCUGGACAAGCUACAGUUAAAAAAAGUUAAAACAUAUUUAGGCACAAACAAACCCAUGGAAUUGAUGAGACACUGCACUGUCAGUACAAACCUUGUUGCUUUUAACUAAUAAUGGCAAAAUCACACUUACUGGGCGUGCGUUAUGUCAAGUCCCUUUGGAUAUGCUGUGAAUUGCCGAGUUCAGCAAGGAUUUGCAAACUUUUCUAUGACUGCAGAAUCAUGACUGAGCAGCAGAUACUGUUUGCAUUCACACUUUCCUAUCUUCUGUUGAAUCAGGAUAAUAUAUAUAGGUCUCACUGACCUGUAUUUCUUCAUUGCUAUCAGGAGACCAGGUAAGAAAAAGCGUUUGAUUUUCAUCACUGAUAUAAUUUGCACAAUCAGCAGGAAUACUGCAGUCAUUAAAAUGAGAGCUACAGGUUGUAGAGAUGUAGGAGACCAUAGUGUAACCUAUAAGGAUAUAGGAUAAUUAAGGUCACAUGCUUGAAUCUAAGAUACAUCACACACACAGAGGAACAGUGUCAGACAGGUUUUACAAGAGGUAAUACACAACAGUUUCUGGAAUUGGGUCUAUACACAUACGACUGGAUCGCAUGUAUAUAUGAUUUAGAGACUG